UACGAAGGGGGCUAGCGUUGUUCGGAAUCACUGGGCGUAAAGGGCGCGUAGGCGGCCUGGCAAGUCGGGGGUGAAAGCCUGUGGCUCAACCACAGAAUGGCCUUCGAUACUGCCUGGCUCGAGACCGGAAGAGGUCAGUGGAACUGCGAGUGUAGAGGUGAAAUUCGUAGAUAUUCGCAAGAACACCAGUGGCGAAGGCGGCUGACUGGUCCGGUUCUGACGCUGAGGCGCGAAAGCGUGGGGAGCAAACAGG
rnacentral:rRNA from 1 species